rnacentral:rRNA from 1 species
GAUGAACGCUAGCUACAGGCUUAACACAUGCAAGUCGCGGGGUAACAUCUGGUAGAGCUUGCUCUUCCAGGAUGACGACCGGCGCACGGGUGAGUAACGCGUAUCCAACCUGGCCCAUACCACGGGAUAGCCCGUCGAAAGGCGGAUUAAUACCGUAUGCUGUCAUUAAGAUGCAUAUAUUGAUGACGAAAGGACUGGCGGUAUGGGAUGGGGAUGCGUCUGAUUAGCUUGUUGGCGGGGUAACGGCCCACCAAGGCGACGAUCAGUAGGGGUUCUGAGAGGAAGGUCCCCCACAUUGGAACUGAGACACGGUCCAAAACUCCUACGGGAGGCAGCAGUGAGGAAUAUUGGUCAAUGGGCGGAAGCCUGAACCAGCCAAGUAGCGUGCAGGACGACGGCCCUAUGGGUUGUAAACUGCUUUUAUGCGGGGAUAAAAGUGGGCCACGUGUGGCCUUUUGCAGGUACCGCAUGAAUAAGGACCGGCUAAUUCCGUGCCAGCAG